AACCGUCUCACCCCCUUCCCCCAAUACAACCCCCCCUUUUCGUGAAUCACUGUGACCCUCUGAACUCUGAAGCAAAGCCAAACCCUAGGUUCUCCCUGCAACGGAUCUGCCGCAGUGCCGCCGCCGUCCGUGCUGUCGGCGCCUCCGCGGCUUCCUCCUUCCAGCUGUGCCGAGCCCAGGUCCUCUCUUGUAGCUCGGUGUCUUCCUUCCCCCCUGUUCCUGUCCUCCGUGGCUUCUCUAUUCGAGGCUUGGAGUAGCUCGCCGCCGUGUUGCCGCUCGUCGUCGUCUCCCCGGUCGCCGUCCGUGUCUCCGUCGAAGAAAGAUGUUGGUCGUUCCAAGUUUUCAAAGUCCCUUUCUGUACCUGGGAGAAAUUUUGUUAUUGUAAGAUCCAUCUCCUUUUCUACCCGUAGUGAACAGGAUCGGCAAGAUACAAAUGAUGAUAUGUUCCCUCUAAGGCCUCACUAAAGUCAUAUAUAUUUUAUGUACUUCCAGUUUUGUAGUUCUACUUUCUGUUUUUAAAUUCACAGUGAAGAAAUCUAAUCCAUUUUCCAAGCUUUACAUUUCAAGCAAAAAAUGGGUUGUGUUUAUUAUUCCACCUAGUGUUGUGGUUCCCCGUUCCUGUCUUCAUUCUUUUAUGGGUUAGAAAUUAUGAAUGAUCUCAAUUAGUUGCUAGUGUUUGAAAAUAUUGUAUGUUGAUAAUAGACAAAAUGAUAGCCACUUUUAUGAGUA